AUGAACUUGCCUAGAGCUGAGCGCCUUCGCCCUACACCUCCGCGCCGCCUCCGGGGCUCCGAUGCGGAAGAUGGUGAGAUCGAUAUCCUGGGAGAGGGGGAAGAUGAAGAGGAGGAGGAAGAUGAACCCGAGGGAAGUCAGCGGUUCCCAGAGCCUCUGCACCAGCCGCAGCCGCAGGAGGCGCGGCAGAGGGCUGGCGCGCUUCCCCGAGAGCGCACCGAGAGCAGCGGCGGCCCGAGCAACUCUUCCGAAUUCUGCCCCAAGUUCGGGGUUUCGACCGGGUCUACAGCGGUCUCUCGGGACGCCCCGCAGCCGGCGAAGCCCCCCUACUCUUACAUCGCGCUCAUCACCAUGGCCAUUCUGCAGAGCCCGCACAAGCGCCUCACGCUCAGCGGCAUCUGUGCCUUCAUCAGUGGCCGCUUCCCUUAUUAUCGCCGCAAGUUCCCCGCCUGGCAGAAUAGCAUUCGCCACAACCUCUCCCUCAAUGAUUGCUUCGUCAAGAUCCCCCGCGAGCCAGGACACCCGGGCAAGGGCAACUACUGGAGCCUGGACCCCGCCUCCCAGGACAUGUUUGACAACGGCAGCUUCCUUCGGCGCAGGAAGCGCUUCAAGCGCCACCACCCACCUCCCGGAGCCCACCUGCACCACCCUUUCCCCCUGUCCGCUGCGCCCGCUGCUCUGCACGGCCCCUACCCGGGCAUGCUGCUUGGGCCCCCGGCCCCGCCACAGCCUGUCCCUGGGGCCUAUCCCGUCUCCACCCCUGGGAGCCGCCAGUGCGCGCUGCUACAUCCUCACCCCCUCCGCUACCUGCUGCUCUCCGCCCCGGCCUACGCUGAGGUUCUCAGGAAAGAGCAAGGCGGGGAUAUGGGGACUCCCGGCGCCCUUCCGGCGCUGCAGCCCACGUUAGACUCCCAGCCUUGGGAAGAGAGCAAGGGGCCAGCGUCGCGGCCAGCUGGCGAAUGCACCUCCUUCAGCAUCGAGAGUAUCAUGCAAGGGGUCCAGGGAGCGGGUGCAGGCGCCGCGCAGAGUCUGCCCCCGACCCCUUGGGGUUACUGCCACCUGCUGCAGCGUUCGUCGUGCCUGUUGCAUCCUCAGGCCGCUGCCCCCUUGCUCCAUGUAUCCGCUGCCCGGACAAUUUUGAAGCAGCAGCAGCAGGAUUGUACUAGCGGCUGCGCUCCCAGCAAGGGCGCUCUGCUGGGCCGUCACCUGUCCGCCACCGCGGCGCUGCUGGGGUGUCAGUCCGGAGCAGAGGGCUCUAGGCUGACGUCUCUGGUCGCCCUUUCGGGCGGAGAGGGGACCUCACCGGCCUUUUGA
rnacentral:lncRNA from 1 species